GGUCCAGGCAGGACACCUAAACUCUGGCAUGGACAGCAUCGCCAUGGAGGGAGCCAGCAGCGUGAACGUACCGCCUUGAAGAAUGGGCAGCCUGGGGGCAAAGAUGGCCGAGUCAUUAAUGAACUGAUCACAGAAACCUCCUUCCAGCUUCAGUUCGACAGACAGACACAGGAAGACGUGAGAAAAGAGGCAGAACUGAAGAAAUUCAUUUCUUCAUUUGUUCAGACCUGAGGCGGUGCAGAAACAAAAGACCUGUGGAACUUGGGUCCUGCAAAUUCAAUGAGGGGAUUAAAGUACUUUGGCUUUUACUUCCAUCUUUAAGGCAGAAAGAUGGUAAUUUACAAAUUGAUUUUUGUAUUUUCUUCAGUUCCAGCUGUUAGCAUGUAAAUUUAAUUAAGUAGAAAAAGACAAGAAAAAAUCCCAAACCAACAAGUUUAGCUAGAUCUAAUAAGUUCAUCCCCAGAUUUCCAUUUAUGUCAUUUUUAGUAAAGCUUGUUUUAUCAAAGAAAAACAAAGCAUUAA